UUCUAGGAUUGGUUGUCCACUCAUAACCAUAAGAUAAUUAAAACGGGGGGGGGCAGGGUAAAAAAAAACUUUUAUCAGCCAUAGGUUAAUGCAAGUGUUUAACAGAUGCUUCGCUAUUAAAAUAUUUUUCCCCAAUACUGAAGAAUCUUAAACCAGCAACCCUAACAGAGAUUGCGAAGAUUUUCAAAGUAGGGCACCUCGAUUUCUCAAAUCUGUGGUGUGGCGAAUAUCCGUGUUCCUCCUGCUUAACUAGCCUGUUUGAAGGCACAGUUCAUUCUCGAGCAAUUCGUCACCUCCUGGGGGUCUUCUCUUCCGGUCUACAGGAGAGUGUGACUUCAGAAAGAACUUCGGAUUGGCCAAGCAGGUCUGAUUCUAUUUUAUUCUAAAGACAGAGUUGGAGAUGGGCUACCAUUGGUGUUGACUGAGAUGUCAAGCAGUCACCUGAAAAGCAAUAGAAAAGCCUGAAAAUGGGAGACAGUGCUUGCUGCCAAGCUUGAUGACCUAAAUUGAAUCCUGGAACCUACAGGACAGAAAGAGAGAGCUGACUCCUGAAAGAUGUCCUCAGAUCUUCACAUAUGCACAGUGGCACCUCUCCAACCAUGCACAUAGUAUAUUAAAAUUAUUUUUUUUAAAACCCA